rnacentral:rRNA from 1 species
UACAGAGGGUGCAAGCGUUAAUCGGAAUUACUGGGCGUAAAGCGUGCGUAGUCGGUUAUCUAAGUCGGAUGUGAAAGCCCCGGGCUCAACCUGGGAAUGGCGGUGGAUACUGAGAAGCUGGAGUGUGGCAGAGGAAGGUGGAAUUCCACGUGUAGCGGUGAAAUGCGUAGAGAUGUGGAGGAACACCGAUGGCGAAGGCAGCCUUCUGGGCCAACACUGACGCUCAUGCACGAAAGCGUGGGGAGCAAACAGG